CUUGCACACAGCCACUCUGGAAGGCAGCUAGGGACUCAGACUGGGUUAAAGGGGGGGGGUCCUGUCCAUCACAUGCCUGGGCUGGUCAGGCCAGGCCUCCACCAUCUCCUAGGCUUGUUUUCCAUCCCACAACCUGCCAAAAUCUGAAGCACAGCCACAUCUCUGCCCUGCCCAGGAAGUCCCGGGGCAAUGUCGGCAUCAUUAAAUGCUUACAGAAGUUGAUGUGCCUCUUGCAGAGGUCAGGUGGAAGCAGGAGGUGUGGCAGGGUGGUGAGGGAAACCUGUAGAUCAUGUCAGGAAGAAACACAUCUUGUGACGCCUGGACCGCCCACUUGAAGCACAGGGACAAUCAUCCCCAAACAGAGCAGCACUGGGCAGCCUCACUUCAGAGACACACCUGGCUCUGCAACUCCCAGCCACAGCUUCUCCAGUACCCCUGCCACCAGCACCCCAUGGGACAUGGCUGCCCGGAGAGUAGCCAUCAUCGGUGCCGGUGCCUCUGGCCUGUGCGCCCUGAAAUGCUGCCUGGAGGAGGGGCUGGAACCCACCUGCUUUGAGAGGAGCAAGGACAUCGGGGGGCUGUGGCGCUUUGAGGAGCACCCCGAGGACGGCCGUGCCAGCAUCUACCGCUCCGUCAUCAUCAACACCUCCAAGGAGAUGAUGUGCUUCAGUGACUUCCCCAUCCCUGAGGACUUCCCCAACUACAUGCACAACUCCAAGAUCAUGGAGUACUUCCGCAUGUACGCCCAGCACUUCGACCUGCUCCGCCACAUCCGCUUCAGGACCAGCGUGUGCCGCGUGUCCAAGCGUCCCGACUUCGCCAGCAGCGGCCAGUGGGAGGUGGUGACGGAGAGCCAGGGGAAGCAGGAGGCAGCCGUCUUUGACGCCGUGCUGGUGUGCAGUGGGCACCACACCGACGCACAUCUCCCGCUCGGUUCCUUCCCAGGGCUGGAAAAGUUUGAGGGCUGCUAUCUGCACAGCCGGGACUACAAGAGCCCUCAGCCCUUCAUGGGAAAACAGGUGGUCGUGGUUGGCGUUGGGAAUUCAGGCGUCGAUAUUGCAGUGGAGCUGAGCCACGCAGCCAAGCAGGUUUUCCUCAGCACCAGGCAUGGGUCCUGGGUGCUGCACCGGGUAGCGGAGAGCGGGUACCCCUUUGAUUUCUGCUACAUCAGCCGCUUCACGCAGCUCCUCCAGAACCUGCUGCCCCUGAGUAUCAUCAGUUUCUUCCUGGAGCGGAAGCUGAACGCUCGCUUUGACCACACUCUCUAUGGCCUAAAGCCCAAGCACCGGGUCCUUCACCAGCACCUGACCAUCAACGAUGACCUGCCCAACCGCAUCAUUUCGGGCCGGGUGCGGGUGAAGCCAAACAUCCAGGAGUUCACGGAGACAUCUGCCAUCUUUGAGGAUGGCACCAGGGAAGACGUCGAUGCCGUAGUUUUUGCCACGGGAUACAGCUUCUCCUUCCCGUUCCUCGAGGGCUUCAAGGUGGUGGAGAACCAGAUUCCCCUCUACAAAUUCAUGUUCCCCCCUGACCUGGAGAAGCCGACGCUGGCUUUCAUUGGCUUUGUCCAGCCCCUGGGUGCCAUCAUGCCCAUCUCCGAGCUCCAGUGUCGCUGGGCCACCCGUGUCUUCAAAGGGCUGCAGGGCCUGCCGCCACCCGCCGACAUGCUGGCUGAAAUCACACAAACCAAGCAGAGAAUGGCUGAGCGGUACGUGAAGAGCCAGCGCCACACCAUCCAGGUGGAUUACAUCCCUUACAUGGAUGAGCUCGCCUGCCAGCUGGGAGUCAAGCCCAACCUGCUCACCCUGUUCCUCACAGACCCCAGGCUGGCGAUGGAGGUGGCCUUCGGGCCCUGCACACCAUACCAGUACCGGCUGCGGGGCCCAGGCGCGUGGCCGGGGGCCAGGGGGGCCAUCCUCACCCAGCAGGAGCGCGUGGUCAGGGCCCUGCAGCCCCGGGCCAGCGGCCACCCUGCCUGCUCCAGCGCCGUGCCCCACGUCCUCACGGUGCUCUUCAGCAUCGGCAUGAUCGCAGCCACCCUCGUCUACGUCUCACUCUCUCCUUAAGGGCAGGAGACAACCCAUACUCCUGGUAAUCUCUUUUUCCCUUGGGAUUGUUAUAAAUAACUGUGUAGCUGUUGGGUUUUGUUGUUAUGUAUUGGUUUUUGCAAGUUGUUAUUGAUCGUAAUGAUUUUGAUAUAGUAUAGUUUGUAAUUAACUGCUUUAAUAUGGUGUAAUUGGUUAGUUUUAGUGGCCACUGCCCUGGCCACGUGUAGAUAAAUGUAUAUUAUAGUUUAGGCUUUCGCAAAAUAGUAAAAUAGAGACUACGUGUUGUGCGUUGUAAUGUUAACUUUUGAAGAAGUAGCUAAUGCCUUUAUUUGGGUAACUGACAAUGGUGAGAAUAACUCAACGUUGUGAACUAGCUAAGGUUGAUUUAAUGUACUUAUAGAGUAUCUUAUCUGUAUAACAUUGAAAAAAACCCAGGUAAAUAAACAUCAAAAGAAGGAAUGCAAGGAGGAAUUUAGUAACUCUUCGGUUACCAAGAACUGUCAAACCACAGAAUUUCUUGUGAGGAAAUAGAAUAUGUGGAUUUAAUCUGCAAUAUGUUGGCAUGACAUUUUAAGAAGACAGGUGAAAGGUCAAACCAAGCAAAAGAAUUCCUGGAACUUGUAAACUCAUGAAUAUGUAUAAUCUUCAUAAAUGUGCAUGUGACCAUUGCAAUGAUAAAGUAGGCUUGUGUCUGCUGUCUGUCGCUAGCUGUGCCGGAGCACGGAGGGGAUGGUUCCUUGCAGCCUGCUCUGUUGUUGUCUGUGUACAUCCCGCUGUGGCACCACCGACUCUGCUCCGGGAACAGCUCCCUC